rnacentral:rRNA from 1 species
UAGUUAUGUUCUUUAAACCCUAAGAAUUUGGCGGUGUUUUAGUCUAAUUAGAGGAACUUGACCCAUAAUCGAUAAUCCUCGUUUUAUCUGGCUUAACUUUGUUAUCAAUAUGUAUACCGCCGUUAUAGGUUUAUUUUUUUAGAAUUUAAUUUACUAAUAAUUUUAUUUUAUUUUAUUUCAGGUCAAGGUGCAGUUUAUAGUUAAGUGGAGUUGAGUUACAUUAUUAUUUGAUUAUAUGGAUUUUUUAUUGAAAUAUUUUAUUGAAGGUGGAUUUAAUAGUAAUUUUAUUAAUAGUGGUAAUUUGAUUUUAGCUCUAAGAUAAGUACACAUCGCCCGGUCGCUCUA